CCCGGACUUCAGAGGUUAAGUGGGCCUCACGCAAGUGCUUCCCGAGCAUUAAUGAGAAUUACUGACACCCUGCGUUUCCACUUUGCUGGAGUCUUUCUCAUGAGACGGCUGGGAAAGGGCUGGGGUUGCGAUUCAUGAAAAGAUCUGCGUGUGAGCCAAUAUUUGUACAUUGAAAAUUACCAGCAAGGGUGCCUCUAGGAAAAGUGCUUGUCUUCUGUGAAACCAGGUCACUCUCUUGUGAUAACAAGAGCUCUGUUUUCAACAAAAACUCGCCCCUGGGAAAUUAUCUGAUAAAGUUAUUCAUACCUGAGUGUAUUUACGGGAAGAAGGCUAUACAUUGAAUUUUUGAUAAAUGCUGGACUUUAGAGAAAGAACGUCUAACAGCAGCAUUCAGAGGUCUGUGAGCCUGUGGCGGUGGGCUUCGGGGAGAAGGGUGGCGAUCAGCAGUGUUCCAAACCCAGGAAGUCACACCACUUGGUCGGUUUUUGAAGUCCGACCCUGACAGCUCAUUAGGACUCUUCAAUCAGUCAGACAAGCUGUACUUUUUACAUUCUGUUCUCAUGAGUCAUGUUUGGUUAAAAGUGGAUUCACCUGGGGUCUAUCCGUGACUCAGUCAAGGUUACCUAGAGUGAGAUGGUCGGUCUGCGGGGGGUCUGGGAGAGGGGCUUCCAGAUUAUAUUCCCCCUUCCUUUCACAGAUAGGAACAUCGGCGUGUGUUGUUUAGGAAUGAGUGUGUCAGGGGGAUGAAUAGAAGGUUUCGUGUUGUCCCUUGAUCUGGGUGUGAGCUAGUGGAUCUGUCUGGGUCUUCGAAAUGGAGCUUGGACUUGUCACAGUGAAUUUGCUCUUUCCCUGGAGUUGAAUUUGGGACUUCAGAACUGGGGUUUAAACAGCUGUCUGGAAAACAAAGCACUGAAUCAAACAACAACCCCUUCUGUCCCUUCUCUCUCUCUCUCUCUCUUUUUGCUUUUGUUGAGUGUGUUUUUGAGAACUGAAAGAGUGAAAGCUUCUGGUUUGAGGUUUUGUUCGGGUCAAGUCCCUUGAAUGAGACAGGGCUGGGAGCCAGUGUAAAUGCUUCUGGAACUGAAGUGAGGAUCCGAGGGCAAGUCGUUUCCCUACUCCCCCCUCCCCCCAGUGACCCACACUGCAUGUCACCCUAUGUAUUUGCUGAAAGCAGGAAACAGACCCAUCACUGGAAGGGCUCUGCCGUGAAUUUGGCCCUUCCAGGAGAACGGAGCCAGGCGAGGUGAAAUUUCCGUGGCAAGUGUUGCCACCCAGUCAGGAGAAGGGCUUCCGAGCUGAGGAAACCAGCCACCCACUCGCCUUCUGACUUCCUCUCACACUUCCUAAGGUGUCACCUCCCACAUCCUUCCUGUUGGGUCUUU